GGCAGGCAUCUGUAAUCCUAGCUACUCCGGAGGCUGAGGCAGGAUAAUCGCUUGAACCUAGGAGGCAGAGGUUGCAGUGAGCCGAGAUCGCACCAUUGUGUUCCAGCCUGGGUGACAGAGCAAGACUCCGUCUCAAAAAAAAAAAAAAAAAAAAAGAGUAAGCCACAUGCACAACAUCAAGGAACACACAGGAGAGAGGGUGUGGGAGGGAGAUGCAGAGUACAGCCAAAUUUCAGUGAACCCUGGAGAGAUUUAUUUGAAAAGGAGAGUUUAGCUGAGCCACCCGUGAAAAGCAUCUGUCGCUGCCUCUCUGGCCCUCACACACAGUAAGGAAGUGGCUUAUCUGGCAGGUUCUGUCCUCUCCUAAUUUCUGCAAAGGACCUGACUCUCAGUAACCUCAGGGUUAUCUGGUAUCAGACAGCCCUGCAUCUUCAAUUUUUGUUGUCCCUAGCCCUCCAAAUGCUGGAAUAAGUGGAAAUGGACAAAUUGCUCUCACCGGUGUAGCAGCAGCUUAUGUCUGUAGAGCCCUUUGCCAAGUAUAAAACCCUUGCAAGUGAGACCAGCCUGAGAGAUAAUCAGGGUAGAUGCAUUUCAGGCGGAGGGCACAGGAAGUUCAAAGGCUCUGAGGCUGGAGUGGGCCCGGUGUAUUUCAGCAACAGCGAGGAGAGGUGGCUGAACUGGAGUGACCAGGCAGGAGAUGAAGAGGAGGUGAGGUCAGAGGGUAAAUGUGGCUGGACCUGGUAGGAGUUUGUGGGUCUGGGUCUUCUGAGUGUGAUGGAAGCCUGUGGAACCCAAGGCUUAACAGAGCAUCCUGGCUGGGCUGUUAAAAAUAGACCACAGGGGCAAAGAUGGGAGUUAGGAGACCAACUAAGACACAAUCCAGGGUGGCAGUCACUUAAGAGGCAGUAACAAAUUAUAUGAUUAUUAUCAUUUUUCUUUUAAUAUCGACAUGGAUUAUAAUCAGUACUCUAGGAAAAGGAGCAAAAAUGGGUGAAAAAUAAGUUUAUGUGGCCUAAGGACUAUGUGGAGUGUCAUUAAAUCUGUUUCAAUCAUGUCUCGUUUGUGUUCACCCCAUAAGCAACUAACUCUAUGUUUUAGAUUAUGAUUCCUAAAAUAAGAGACUGUUGCUUAUUAGGAUAUUGACUACUCUAUAAGAGGAAAAACUGUAGUUAAUAGGCAUCUUCUUCAUAAGGAAAAUUAGCCUUUAAAUCCAGAAAAAAAAAUAAGCUACUAGUAUAAUCUAAGCAACAGAUGGUGGUGGCUUGGACCUUGAUAGUAGAGGGGUAAUGAGUAGUGAGAGGCCAUCAAAUUCUGCAUAUAUUUUGGGUUUUGUUUGUUUGUUUUUGAGAUGGAGUUUUGCUCUUGUUGCCCAGGCUGGACUGAAAUGGCAUGAUCUUGGCUCACUGCAACCUCCGCCUCCCGGGUUCAAGUGAUUCUCCUGCCUCAGCCUCCCUCGCAAGUAGCUGGGAUUACAGGCGCCUGCCACCAUGCCUAGCAAAUUUUUGUAUUUUUAGUAGAGACAGGAUUUUACCAUGUUGGCCAGGCUGGUCUCAAACUCCUGACCUCAAGUGAUCUGCCCUCCUCAGCCUCGUAAAGUGCUGGGAUUACAGGGGUGAGCCGCUGUGCCUGGCUGGCCCUGUGAUAUUUCUGUGAAAUAAAUUGGGCCAGGGUGGGAGCAGGGAAAGAAAAGGAAAAUAGUAGCAAGAGCUGCAAAGCAGGCAGGAAGGGAGGAGGAGAGCCAGGUGAGCAGUGGAGAGAAGGGGGGCCCUGCACAAGGAAACAGGGAAGAGCCAUCGAAGUUUCAGUCGGUGAGCCUUGGGCACCUCACCCAUGUCACAUCCUGUCUCCUGCAAUUGGAAUUCCACCUUGUCCAGCCCUCCCCAGUUAAAGUGGGGAAGACAGACUUUAGGAUCACGUGUGUGACUAAUACAGAAAGGAAACAUGGCGUCGGGGAGAGGGAUAAAACCUGAAUGCCAUAUUUUAAGUUAAAAAAAAAAAAAGCAAACACAAAGAUGCUUCAAGAUCUUCAGGAGAAGUAUGGUAUACAAGUUUCAGGGACCCUAUUUGACAAUUUUCAGAGUGCUCUCUAUGCUGAUUCCGAGUCGAGUGUGUCAGCUGUGAUUACAGUGCCUGUGGAUCUAGGCCGGGUUGGGGGGGUGUGGGCGGGGGAAGGGAAGUCUGGCCCGGAGCAAUUGCUCCUGCCGGUAACCCCAGCACUUUGGGAUGCCUAAACAGGCGUAUCGCUUGAGGCCAGUAAUUCGAGACCAGCCUGGGCAACAUGGCAAAUCUGUCUCUACAAAACAAAAUUAGAAAAAUUAACUGGGCGUAGUGGCAUGUGCCUGUUGUCCCAGCUACUUGGGAGGCUGAGGUGGGAGAAUGGCUUGAGCCCAGGAAGCGGAGGUUGCAGUGAGCCAAGAUCAUGUCACUGCACUUCAGCCUGGGUGACAGAACCAGACCCUGUCUUUAAAAAGGGAGUUGGUGGGGAGAGGUUCUAGAAUGUCAUGUAGCAACCAGUUUAAGGACUGGGACUCAGGGAUCCAACUCCCACAGUUUCCCUGUGUGACCCUAGGCAUUUGACUUAGCCUUUCUGAGCCUCAGGUUUUUUGUUUCUGAAGUAAAAGGAUUGGACUAGGUAAUCUCCAAGAUCCUAGGAACCCAGGAGAAAGAUGAGAAAAUGUACAAGAAUGAACACUCAGGUGGAAAUGCUGCAAUCCUGAGAAGCUCCCAGGAUGAAUGAAAGGCACAGGACCUCUUACCCCUCACCCCUGCCCCCCUCAAGAGCUGGUUUCUCAAACCUUUCUCUUAGGCCCCUUCAAAGGGGGAAAACUAAAAAUUAUACAAGUUAUAGUUCAAGGACUUUAAAUAGAUUAUUUAUAUGAUUGCUCAUAAGGAUGAGGCUGUGAGGAGGGAACACCUUAUUUAAUCUAAUGAAAUUCCAUAGGAAAGAGGCCUUUUGUAUAUUGAAUCAAUUUAUCUGCCUUCUCAGUGCAUCUGUCAUAUUCUGAAAGAUUCUGGGUUGAUCUUUUGCGAUAACCUCUAUGGCUGUGAGUGUGUGUGUGUGUUUGUGUAUUUUUUAACAUUUUGUAUAAUGAUUGGAGGUUGGUAAAAAGUAACACAACAGUACUUUUUUAAUACAAACUUGGUGUGGUCUUGAGUUGUCUUCCAUUGGAGAGCGUACGUGUGCCACAGAUUGGUGCACCUGCCGGCAUCUCUAGGAUUGCACCAACUCCCUCUAGCUCUUCUUGGUGGCCUGCAGGGGCCUAGGGCGCAUUCACUUCCCUCUGCUUGACUUUACGUGGUGUUCUAGCGUCAGACAUCAGGCGAUGCCGUGCAUUACCCAAGACACUGGACAGCUCCGGAUCUUCCCGUCUAACCACUAAUCAAGUUAAAAAGAGGAAAUUAACGCUUUCUUAGUAGUCUCUGAAAGAAACUAGUUAUUUGCGUAAAGAUGACUUGGUUUUGUGUUGUUUAUCCCUGGGGAGAAGGGUAAAGAAGACCCUCAAACUGGAUUUGCUGCUGAAGUGCUUUUAACUCACCUGUGCGGAGAGCGG
rnacentral:lncRNA from 1 species